CCUACGAGGGGCAGCAGUGGGGAAUAUUGCACAAUGGAGGAAAGUCUGAAGCAGCAAAGCAGCGUGGGGGAAGAAGUACUCCGGGAUGGUAAGCUUUGUCAGCAGGGAAGUAAAUGGCGGUACGUGACCAAGAAGCCCCGGCUAAUUAAGUUCCAGCAGCCGUGGUAAUACGUAGGCAGCAGGCGUAAUCCGGAUUUACUGGGUGUAAAGGGAGCGUAGACGGCAAGGCAAGUCUGUAGUGAAAGCUCGUGGCUCAACCUUGGGAUUGGUGUGGAAACUGUGUGACUGGAGUGCAGGAGGGGUAAGCGGAAUUCGUAGUGUAGCGGUGAAAUGCUUAGAUAUUAGGAGGAACCCCGAUUGCGAAGGCAGCUUACUGAACUGUAACUGACGUUGAUGCUCGAAGGCGUGGGGAGCAAACAGGAUUAGAUACCCCUGUAGUC
rnacentral:rRNA from 1 species